CAGUACAUAUCAGAAUGUUACCCCAGUACACAUCAGAAUGUUACUGCAGUACAUACCAGAAUGUUACUGCAGUACAUAUCAGAAUGUUACUGACAGUACAUAUCAGAAUGUUACUGACAGUACAUAUCAGAAUGUUACUGACAGUACAUAUCAGAAUGUUACUGCAGUACAUAUCAGAAUGUUACUGACAGUACAUAUCAGAAUGUUACUGACAGUACAUAUCAGAAUGUUACUGACAGUACAUAUCAGAAUGUUACUGACAUACAUAUCAGAAUGUUACUGCAGUACAUAUCAGAAUGUUCCUUCUGUGUCUGAUAGGAUUAUAACAUGCUGUUACUGCAGUACAUAUCAGAAUGUUACUGCAGUACAUAUCAGAAUGUUACUGCAGUACAUAUCAGAAUGUUACUGCAGUACAUAUCAGAAUGUUACUGCAGUACAUAUCAGAAUGUUACUGCAGUACAUAUCAGAAUGUUACUGCAGUACAUAUCAGAAUGUUACUGACAGUACAUAUCAGAAUGUUACUGCAGUACAUAUCAGAAUGUUACUGCAGUACAUAUCAGAAUGUUACUGCAGUACAUAUCAGAAUGUUACUGCAGUACAUAUCAGAAUGUUACUGCAGUACAUAUCAGAAUGUUACUGACAGUACAUAUCAGAAUGUUACUGCAGUACAUAUCAGAAUGUUACUGCAGUACAUAUCAGAAUGUUACUGCAGUACAUAUCAGAAUGUUACUGCAGUACAUAUCAGAAUGUUACUGCAGUACAUAUCAGAAUGUUCCUUCUGUGUCUGAUAGGAUUAUAACAUGCUGUUACUGCAGUACAUGUCAGAAUGUCACUGCAGUACAUGUCAGAAUGUUACUGCAGUACAUAUCAGAAUGUUACUGCAGUACAUAUCAGAAUGUUACUGCAGUACAUAUCAGAAUGUUACUGCAGUACAUAUCAGAAUGUUACUGCAGUACAUAUCAGAAUGUUACUGCAGUACAUAUCAGAAUGUUACUGCAGUACAUAUCAGAAUGUUACUGCAGUACAUAUCAGAAUGUUACUGCAGUACAUAUCAGAAUGUUACUGACAGUACAACAGUUUCCACUAGAAAUUGGAGGCCACUCAGGGACAAUCUAAACUUGAUGAGUAAUGCUGU
ensembl:lncRNA